rnacentral:rRNA from 1 species
UACGGAGGGUGCAAGCGUUGUUCGGAUUUACUGGGCGUAAAGCGCGCGCAGGUGGGUGUGCAAGUCGGAAGUGAAAUCUUGAGGCUCAACCUCGAGGCUGCUCCCGAAACUGCACGCCUAGGGACUGGUAGAGGCUGGUAGAAUUCCCGGUGUAGCGGUGGAAUGCGUAGAGAUCGGGAAGAAUACCCGUGGCGAAGGCG